GCUGUAGCUUGGUGGUCCAGUGCUUGCUUUGUAUGCAGAAGGUCCCAGGUUCAAACUCCGGCAUCUCCA